rnacentral:misc_RNA from 1 species
GCCUCUUCAGCAGCCUUCUGUGCUUGUUUCAGUUCAUCAAUUGCUUGUGCCUUUUCUUUCUCAAUCAACCCUAUCUGCUCCUUUGCUUUCUUCAGAUCUUCCUGAACAAGACUCAAUUGAGCCUGCAAUUCUGAUCCCUUCACCACCCUUGUCUGUGGUUUUUCAGGUGGUGGAGUGACCUUUGUUGACCGUCGAUCAAUUGUAGGCUUUGAAGUAACAGAUCGUGGGGAACGAUCAAUUGAAAGGCGUGAACUCUGCAGAGAAGCAGGUGAAUCAGGCUCUGAUUUAGUGCCUCCCCUGCUCAGUUUACUCACUCUAGGAGUUGCUGGUGAUGCUUUGUUGGUCUUGGAAGACAUGUUUGUUCUUGACGAUGAUGACAUAGAAGAGAAAUGAAAAAUGGGAAAAGAGUUGAAAAUGUGCGAGUUCAGGUAAAUGAGGAUACGGGUUCUCUAUCGAAUGCUAAAAUGCUGACAUAGUGUAAGAGAAUGUAGUUUGGCUGUUCCCUUUCCUUUCUUUUCUUUUCUUUUCUUUU